AACGGAAAGGCCCUGCUUGCAGGGUACUCGAGUGGCGAACGGGUGAGUAACACGUGGGUGAUCUGCCCUGCACUUCGGGAUAAGCUUGGGAAACUGGGUCUAAUACCGGAUAGGAGCCAUCUUUAGUGUGGUGGUUGGAAAGUUUUUUCGGUGUAGGAUGAGCUCGCGGCCUAUCAGCUUGUUGGUGGGGUAAUGGCCUACCAAGGCGGCGACGGGUAGCCGGCCUGAGAGGGUGUACGGCCACAUUGGGACUGAGAUACGGCCCAGACUCCUACGGGAGGCAGCAGUGGGGAAUAUUGCACAAUGGGCGCAAGCUUGAUGCAGCGACGCCGCGUGGGGGAUGAAGGCCUUCGGGUUGUAAACUCCUUUCGCUAGGGACGAAGCUUUUUUGUGACGGUACCUAGAUAAGAAGCACCGGCUAACUACGUGCCAGCAGCCGCGGUAAUACGUAGGGUGCGAGCGUUGUCCGGAAUUACUGGGCGUAAAGGGCUCGUAGGUGGUUUGUCGCGUCGUCUGUGAAAUUCUGGGGCUUAACUCCGGGCGUGCAGGCGAUACGGGCAUAACUUGAGUGCUGUAGGGGUAACUGGAAUUCCUGGUGUAGCGGUGAAAUGCGCAGAUAUCAGGAGGAACACCGAUGGCGAAGGCAGGUUACUGGGCAGUUACUGACGCUGAGGAGCGAAAGCAUGGGUAGCGAACAGGAUUAGAUACCCUGGU
rnacentral:rRNA from 1 species